UCCGAUAUGGUGUAACGGCUAACAUUGCCGCCUUUCAUCGUUGCUGGCUUACGUAAGUUUGCCUUUACACCGUACCGGGCGCGGCAGCUCGGGGUUCGAUUCCCCGUAUCGGAG
rnacentral:tRNA from 1 species